rnacentral:rRNA from 1 species
GACGAACGCUGGCGGCGUGCCUAAUACAUGCAAGUUGAGCGAUGAAGAUUGGUGCUUGCACCAAUUUGAAGAGCAGCGAACGGGUGAGUAACGCGUGGGGAAUCUGCCUUUGAGCGGGGGACAACAUUUGGAAACGAAUGCUAAUACCGCAUAACAACUUUAAACAUAAGUUUUAAGUUUGAAAGAUGCAAUUGCAUCACUCAAAGAUGAUCCCGCGUUGUAUUAGCUAGUUGGUGAGGUAAAGGCUCACCAGGGCGAUGAUACAUAGCCGACCUGAGAGGGUGGUCGGCCACAUUGGGACUGGGAACCGGCCCAAACUCCUACGGGGGGCAGCAGUAGGGAAUCUUCGGCAAUGGGCGAAAGUCUGGCCGAGCAACGCCGCGUGAGUGAAGAAGGUUUUCGGAUCGUAAAACUCUGUUGGUAGGGAAGAACGUUGGUGAGAGUGGAAAGCUCAUCAAGUGACGGUAACUACCCAGAAAGGGACGGCUAACUACGUG